CCCAGGAUCACACAAAUAUUGCUAUCAUUGUUUAUGUGACCGCCGCCGCGCGCCGCCGCCGGUGAAGUUGGGAUUAGUUUUUUGCAUGUUUUGAUUGUUAAUUUGUUUACAGUUUAGUGCAAACCAUGGCCACGAUCGGUGUUAUUGUUUGUUUGUUAAAAUAUUGUGAGUGCUCUAAAAGCAAAUGAAUAUUCAAGAUCUUAUAUUCUAAAAGAUAUUAGUGGAUGCAGAUAAGAGUGUUUAGUGAGUGCUAUGUUUGAAUAUUGCAAGUGAAAACACAGCCCAUCGAUGUAAUGCGCUAAAAAACUGCAAUGGCUCCGAAUACAUGAUUACCAGAUAACAAAUCCUGGCGCAGCUUACGUGUGUGUUUCUAUAACGUCGCAAGCUACAGUGGCUGUUCAUAUUUUUGCAAGAUCUACACCUACAGGAUUCAGUUAUCUGGGCAUUAUAGAUACCCUAUUAUCACCUAAGAAGUUAUUUAGGUAUAUUUAUUAAAACCAUUAAAUAGAGGUGAGUGAUUGAGUAAGUUAGUAUAUAUAUGUUUUAUGAUUUUUACUAGAAAGAAAAUAAUGAAUAAAGAAAAUAAUUGGCUAGAAAAUAAUUAUGUUUUAAAUAGUGAAAUAAAUAUUCAUAUUUUUCAUUUUCAUACCAUGUUUC